UAAUUGCCCCUUGUUUGUUUCAGGUGUGAUCCCCUGGGCCCGUUUGCUGUCGGGGGAGAGGACCUGGACCCCUUUGGGUGUCGGAGAGGUGGCAUGAUUGUGGAUCCCCUGAGGUCUGGCUUCCCAAGAGCACUCAUUGACCCAUCCUCGGGCCUCCCAAACCGUCUUCCUCCAGGAGCUGUGCCCCCAGGAGCACGCUUUGACCCCUUUGGACCCAUUGGGACCAGCCCAUCUGGACCUAACCCAGACCAUCUCCCCCCGCCGGGCUUCGAUGACAUGUACCUGUGAAGGCCUCAAGAAUGUAACAUCCCAGCCUUCCCUCCACUGUCCUGGAGCUGCCACCGCUGGCCCCAUCAGCAACCGUGUUCUUGCGGGCUGGGGGCAAGGGACUCUGCCCAUGUGUUUGUGGGCCGGCUGGGAUCGCCUCCCCACCCCCUAUCAGAGCCAAGGCACCUGCUGCAGCUCUCCACCUGGCUGCAUAUAGGUCCCAAAGAGAAAUCAGUGUGUCUCUCUCACCACCAGCUCCCCCACACUUCUCAAGGGAGACUCCGGCAACAUCUCCCCUCGGCCCGAUGCUGUCCCAGCUGCAGCACCAUAAGAACAGAACACAUUUUGGAUGUUAUUAUAAGAACCAAAUGUCAAUACAAAAAUCAUGUUGCCAGUCUCCCA